GCCAGGUGCAGUGGCUCACACCUGUAAUCCUAGCCCUUAGGAGGCUGAGGUGGGAGGAUCACUUGAGCUCAGGAGUUCAAGACCAGCCUGGGCAAUAUGGUGAAACCCUGUCUCUACGAAAAAUUAGCCGGGCAUGGUGGCGCAUGCCUGUAGUCCCAGCUACUCAGGAGGCUGAGGUGGGAGGAUCAUUUGAGCCCAGGAGGCGGAAGUUGCAGUGAGCCAAGAUUGCACCACCGUACUCCAGCCUGGGCAACAAGUGAGAUCCUGUCUCA
ensembl:misc_RNA Metazoa_SRP Metazoan signal recognition particle RNA